GACGAACGCUGGCGGCGUGCUUAACACAUGCAAGUCGAGCGGUAAGGCCCUUUCGGGGGUACACGAGCGGCGAACGGGUGAGUAACACGUGGGUGACCUGCCCUCAGCUCUGGGAUAACGCCCGGGAAACUGGGUCUAAUACUGGAUAUUACUCUGCGGUGCAUGCCGUGGGGUGGAAAGCCUUGUGCGGCUGGGGAUGGGCCCGCGGCCUAUCAGCUUGUUGGUGGGGUGAUGGCCACCAAGGCGACGACGGGUAGCCGGCCUGAGAGGGCGACCGGCCACACUGGGGACUGAGACACGGCCCAGACUCCUACGGGAGGCAGCAGUGGGGAAUCUUGCGCAAUGGGCGAAAGCCUGACGCAGCGACG
rnacentral:rRNA from 1 species